rnacentral:rRNA from 1 species
AACGAACGCUGGCGGCAGGCUUAACACAUGCAAGUCGAGCGCCCCGCAAGGGGAGCGGCAGACGGGUGAGUAACGCGUGGGAACGUACCCUUUGCUACGGAAUAGCUCCGGGAAACUGGAAUUAAUACCGUAUGUGCCCUACGGGGGAAAGAUUUAUCGGCAAAGGAUCGGCCCGCGUUGGAUUAGCUAGUUGGUGGGGUAAUGGCCUACCAAGGCGACGAUCCAUAGCUGGUCUGAGGGGAUGAUCAGCCACAUUGGGACUGAGACACGGCCUAAACUCCUACGGGAGGCAGCAGUGGGGAAUAUUGGACAAUGGGCGCAAGCCUGAUCCAGCCAUGCCGCGUGAGUGAUGAAGGCCUUAGGGUUGUAAAGCUCUUUCACCGGAGAAGAUAAUGACGGUACCCGGAGAAGAAGCCCCGGCUAACUUCGUGCCAGCCGCCGCCGUAAUAC